UCAAACACUACACUUGGACAAGACUUGGAUCUCAAGCAAUCAAGCAAAGAAUGAUUGGAUCAUACAAAGCUUGAAGAUUAUGUGUAAAUGUGUCUAUGGUUCAUAGUGGUUAUUAGUUAGAUUCAUCAUUAUGAUUUCACACAUCUAGUAUUUGCCAAUUAAAACUGAAAUCAUAAAAUAAGUAUGUUAAUCAAUCAAUUGGUAAAUCAACUGGACAAUCGAUUUUCUGAGUCAUAGAACCAAGUUUUCACUAAGUCAAUCGAUUAGGAAAUCGAUUACUUAAAGGUCUUUAAUCAGACAUGUAUUCUAUGAUCAUAGGAAAUCGAUUGGACAAUCGAUUGAUAUACUUUUCUUAAGUUACAAGUUUUCUACUAAUCAAUUGGUUAAUCGAUUUUCUGAUUCAUAGAACAAAACUUUCACUGAG
rnacentral:lncRNA from 1 species